CCCUAAGACGCAAAAUUAAGGUAAUUAACGGACAUUAAAAAAACAACAACAGACUUCUAAAUGUUUUUUAUUUACUCUCCACCCAAAAACUUCAUGUCAGGAUGGAGGUGAGUUGGUGUAGCUCCAGAGGAAACGGUAGAAAUAGAGGUGAGCUACCGGGACACCAUAAGAAUACAGUUUAACGCACCACUGGAAAUGCAAACCUGUUUGUGAUUGCUCACACUGUACCAGCUCUCCAUUCACAGAAUGUGGGAAACAAGCUUCAGCAUCAUUCACACGAGCUUUCAGGUAAAAUAUUUUGACUUCUUCAAAUAUAUGUGCAGCCAGAGAGGAUGGGCAGCAGGCGACGUCUGACAGGCUGCUGACACAAACUGCAAAACAGUUGCCAUGCAGAAACCCAAAGGCUUACCUUGCUGCUAAAUUCAUGUGAAAAAGGAAACUCCACAUCCCAAGGUCUCCACCAUGAAGACGACAAAAGCUUUCCAGCUCUUGGACCGUAAAACUCUGCUAGAACAG